rnacentral:misc_RNA from 1 species
CAGCAGUGAGGAGUAAUAUGUAUAGUGUCGGAGUGCCCCUGGGGGGUGUGUGUGGUGUGUGCGAGUGAACACUCGCAUGCGUCUCACAACAACACAACAUUGCAGCGUAGAUGAUGUGACUGUGACUCAUCGUGUGUGUGUCACAACACAACAACAAACU